ACUGUAAGAAGGGCCUAUAGGGCUGGUCAUAGCUACUGUAAGAAGGGCUUAUAGGGCUCUGGUCAAAAGUAGUGCACUACAUAGGGAAUAGGGUACAGGCUCUGGUCUAAAGUAGUACACUAAGUAGGGAAUAAGGUAUCAUUUGGGACUGAGCCCAAACCUCCUUACUUUACCAGAAUGUUCCGAGCCGAGAGAACGGAGGAAGAGAGACGGGGAGAGGGGUAGUUACCAGUUUGUUAUUUUAUAGACUUGCAUUAUGAUGUACUGUAUGGUAUUUAUCAGCAACACACUGAGCUUAUUGAAUAACACAUUUAUUCCAUCAGGGGAAAAAAGAAAAAAAGAAAAUGUCCUAUGAAAUCUCUUUCAUAGUUGCUCUGGUCAAAUGCAGUGAACUAUGCAGACAGUCGUGUGCCAGUUGGGAUGCAUCCACAGCCUGGCGACGAGAGAAGGGUUGGCAUCGAUCAAUCGUUCACACUGGUUUUCUAGUAGAAAGAAACACAUGAUGGUUCAGCUACAUCUCUGUAUCUACUCUCAGUAGACGAGACGAUCUACACUAGCUCUGACAUACAUCAUUUAUGAAAAUCCUCCAAAUUUAAUCUUAAUUAAUAUCCGAGUCAGAUUUUUUUAUUUUAUUAAGUUGAGGUUAUAUUUAUAUAUUUAACAACAUUAUCAUUUAUUUAUUUAUGCAUGUAUUUAUUUAUUUACAAAGACAUUUAUAUUUCUAAAGUAGUUAUAGUGCAACUUCUGCACACAGCACCUUUUAUUAUCAGUUCCUCUAACUGUAUGACCUAUGACCUAUGACCACCCCACCCUUCCUUCCUCUGGAUAGUGAAUAGUGCUACCCCCCAAAUAACAACACUGAUACAUGGCCAGCUUCCCCCAAUAACAACACUGAUACAGGGCCAGCUUCCCCCAAUAACAACACUGAUACAGGGCCAGCUUCCCCCAAUAACAACACUGAUACAGGACCAGCUUCCUCCAAUAACAACUGAUACAGGGCCAGCUUCCCCCAAUAACAACACUGAUACAGGGCCAGCUUCCCC
ensembl:lncRNA